GACGAACGCUGGCGGCGUGCUUAACACAUGCAAGUCGAACGAUGAAGAAGAGAAACGCGAACUUCGGUUCAAAUUUCACUUCGGAUUAGUGGCAGACGGGUGAGUAACGCGUGAGCAACCUACCUCUUACAAAGGGAUAGCCUCGGGAAACCGUGAUUAAUACCAUAUGACACAUUCAUAAGGCAUCUUAAGAAUGUUAAAGCUACGGCGGUAAGAGAUGGGCUCGCGUCCCAUUAGCUAGUUGGUGAGGUAACGGCCCACCAAGGCGACGAUGGGUAACCGGCCUGAGAGGGUGAACGGUCACAUUGGAACUGAGACACGGUCCAAACUCCUACGGGAGGCAGCAGUGGGGAAUAUUGCACAUUGGAGGGAACUCUGAUGCAGCGACGCCGCGUGAGCGAUGAAGGAAUUCGUUUCGUAAAGCUCUGUUCUAUGGGAAGAAAAGGACUGUACCAUAGGAGAAAGCCCCGGCUAAAUACGUG
rnacentral:rRNA from 1 species